GAGUAGAAUCGCACGAUUAAUCAACCGUUUUGUCUAGAUGUUUGCAACGGUUCAUCAUAUACUCAUUAAAAAACAGUCGAAAAUUACGAGAAAAAAAUUGACAACAACUUCAUGUAUGACCGAUGUUCUGAAAUGUCAAACUGAAUUAUUUUGCGCGUAAAUAAUGUUUGACAGCUAUCGGAAUAUAACGUUCCGUCAAUAUUGUUCGAUCCUUAGCUCCAACACAAAUCAUCCAAAAAGAGUUUAUUUUUAUCGCUGAAAUAUAGAAGAGAAAAAAAUGUUAACAACAAUAUUACGCCGAAUUCCACAAGUUGCUUCAAUUCAACGAAUUGCUGUUUCUGUUGCUGGCUAUUCCCAAGAAAACUACAAUCGAUCAGUUGAUAAUAACAAAAAUUGUAAAUACACAAAACCAAACAGUGUCGACAAUUAUAUGACGAAUUCUGUGAAUAGUUCGUUGUCAAGUGGGAGAAACGAUGGACCGAUUUUGUAUCAUGAUGAAGCGUUGUCAGCCGAUCAGCAUGACAUGGUUUUAACAGACAUAAAUCGAAAAGAUCUCGCUGAUGAAAGUUAGUUUUUUCUCUGCGUUUUUCGUUUUUGUAAUGUUUUUGUUUUUAGAUUGGCAAUCGUCACGGAAAUCCAAAUUUGAGCAAAGGGGGGUUUAGUGCGUCACCGUUUCCGGUUGAUGGCAUAAUUUUCGGUGAAAAUAAUCGGUUGAUGAUCUGUCUAAACUGUCAGCGUGUCGAAAAGCCGACUGCACCGAUUGUCAAGGUCUGGUUCCUCGUUGACACUGGUUCCAAUUGCACUUUUCUCUGCAAAGAUACAUUAAAUGAGAUGUAUGGUGCAACCGUAGUGCUACCAAUUAUUUUGUUGCAAUACAGGAUUCCAAGUCUGAAAUCAAAUGCAACAUUUCGCACAGUCACUUCGCAGACGUGAACGUUUUGGGUAUGGAAGCUAUGCGUCGUCUGGAAGUGUCUAUCGAAAAAUGUAUCUCUAGUACAAAGAAUGUGCGCAUCGCAUUUUAACUGACUCAUUUUCCAGCACUUAAACUAUUAUUAUAAAGCAUCGACACGAACGGCAGUAAUCUUAUUCAGAAAAAAGAAACAGAAAUCACCAACCAUAAUAACAAUAGAGAAAUAACAACCACAAAGUAAUAGGCAAAGCAAUUGUAUCAAUAGAAUAAAAAACGAAUCAAUUUAUAUUGUGUAAAUUUCGUCGUGAUCGUCGUCGAAUUUUGUAUUAGUCGGUGUAUCUUAUUCACAAACAUUAACUGGUUUUAAAUUUUCUUUCUUACUAUCUACGCAGUUUUCGUAUAAGUUUGUGAGUUCAUGAAUUUAUUGGACUUUACUUGAUUUUGCUAAUAUUGCAAUUAACUGAAAAAUAUGUUUGCUGAUACCUUGGAUUAAAUGUUAUUGAACUUUCUAUAUCUAACUGAAAUUACUUUGUGUUGCACAUUUUUCGAAGUUGUACUUUGAACGUUACUGAGCGUGAGCGAGAGAGAGGUGUGUGUGUGUGUUUAUGUACAUACUGUCAGCAGUUUGUGAAUUAGAUACACCGACUAAUACAAAAUUCGAUGACGAUCACGACCCGGAAAUACAUAGACUGAAAAAACAGAAAUCAUA